ACUCCUGUUAACGGCAAAUUAAACAAUUACCGCUAAUUUCGAAUUAUUCAGAGUUUUCUGGAUUUCAGAGCGGUUUCUCCCUCUGUUUGACGCCUCCCUGUUAACUUCGAGAGCGGUAAACUUGCCGCUCUUUUUCU
rnacentral:sRNA from 1 species